rnacentral:rRNA from 1 species
AUACGGAGGGUGCAAUCGUUAAUCGGAAUUACUGGGCGUAAAGCGUACGUAGGCGGUUCGUUAAGUUAGAUGUGAAAGCCCCGGGCUUAACCUGGGAACUGCAUUCAAAACUGGCGAACUCGAGUUAAGUAGAGGGGAGUGGAAUUUCAGGUGUAGCAGUGAAAUGCGUAGAGAUCUGACAGAACACCAGUGGCGAAGGCGACUCCCUGGACUUGAACUGACGCUGAGGUACAAAAGCGUGGGUAGCAAACGGGAUUAGAAACCCUAGUAGUCC